UUGUUGAAUGAAUGACUUAAUGGAUGGAUAGAAAGGGUCUGAGACUCUAUCCUAAGGCCAGUAAAACCUUAAAUCUAAAUAAUAACCCAACCACCUUUUGCAUUUACAUAGCAAUUGAUAUAUUAUGCAAGUGAGUUCUCCCAUUCUGUUCACAUUUUAUUAUUUCCAUUCCCAUUAAAAUAAUCCAAGCCUCACUGCCAGAUUACUCCCCUAAAACAUGAAAUCAGGUCAUGUUCCUACUCAGGUGGAACUAAUCAUGGUGUGUGUAUGCAAUAAGAGGUCAAAGUUGCCAACAAGUUGUUGCUGUUAAUGUUCUGGGAAAUGCUGAAGCUAUGCUACAUAGUGGAGAGGGGGGAGCAGUUAUUGUAGUUAAGAUUGGAAUUUGACAUCAUAUCUGAGAUGUAAAUAGCAGGUUUUAAAUUCUGCCUGUGUGACCCUGGACAAUCGUUUAACUUCUACAGGCCUAGAUGGUUAUAAGCACAUGGAAUGGUAUUUGGGUUUAAUGCAUAGAACUCCUUCAAUGAAUGGUAUUUCCAUAUAUGUAAUAAAAACAAGGCGUUGAAAAGACUAGGGAAAUGCAUCAAGUGUUAAGUCUGCAGGUUAUAGAGUUAUACUUUAAUGUAAUUUUAAAAAUUUAUGUUAAAAGAAUGUAUUUAACCAUUG